CUUGUGUCUGCUGCCUCAGCGUUGCAUUUCUCUGCUUUCCUCCAUUGUCUCUGAUCUUUAGCCUCUUCUUUCUUCUCCUCCUAGGCUUUUUUAAACCCUGAUGGAGAAGGUCAGCUCUUUCCUUCAAGCCGUAGCGGACCUUGCCCUCGAGUGUUUGAUUCUUUCUGGUGAUGCUGCUGGUCCCUAGGUGCUGAUGGAGUCUUUGACCGUGGUUUCCGUUGUUUACUAGGCUUAAUGCCGUCGCACGUUCUUUAGAGAACCAGUUGCAGAGUGGCACUUGGAGUAGAUUGAGAGAUUACCAGGCAGUGAUGGGCAGUGGCUGAGGAGGAUGGAUAGACUUGCACAGAAGCCCAGCCCCAGCGCCCAAAGACUCUGCUUCAGGUAACCAGCGUGUUUAUGUCGGAAUUUUUAGGAUCACCUCUAGUAUUUGUGAGGUCCGUUUGGGUUUUUAUCACACUGCCCUUGUAAGCCCUGCAUUGGUGCUGCGUGAGUAGGUUUGCUUAGCGAAUCAGGGAGGAGUGAUAGAUGAACCCUGGGCUUUAUCGGAGGGUGUAUGUGAUCUGGGCACUGGCAACACUUUGUAAACUUGCACUUGGCACGGGAGUUGGUUUCAUGGUUCACAAAGCCCUGCUACUUUUCCAAUAGUAGUCUGACUUCAUACACACCAAGGGAUGCUUUCUCUGGCUCUUACUUAUUGACAUUUCCCUUUUUCUUCUGCUUGGAUUUAUCCCUAGCUCCUGUUGAAACAGCAUUUUUGAGCUCAUUAAAUCUGUUAAUGUGUCUGUAAUGCUUAGGACAGAGCCUUACACAGAAAGCACGCCAUAAGUAUUAGCUGUUGUAAUUGUGUUUUUAUUUAGAGCUUCCCCACCGUUUCUCCCCUCUCCCUCACUACUUAUGGUGGUCGUGCUUGGCAAAAGAAGGAAGCCAAUGGCUCUUGGGGCAGAGGAGGAGGCCACAGGCUUUGUCUUUUCAGCUCUGUCCAGAGAUCUCAGAAAGCUUGCAGAGGCCCCGAAGGUAACGG
rnacentral:lncRNA from 1 species